CGAGCUGGUUGGCCCUCCAGGAGUAGGAUUGGACACUCCUGGCAGAUUACUGAGCAGUUGUGUAGAGCUUCAGUGAGUUGGAGACAUGGGUGACUUCCCGACUCUACAGACAAACUAUCAGAGACUUCCUGUUGCCGGUGAUGAAAGUGAUUCUUCACAUGAGAGUGUUGCAUCUCCUUCACU